CUGAAAAAUCCAGCUAAAACCAGCAUAAGCUGGUAGCUGGUUUUAGCUGGUUGUAGCUGGUUUAAGGUGGUUUAUGCUGGUCCUCCCAGCCUGACAAAGCUGGUCAUGCUGGUGGGCCAGCUGGUAUUCCAGCAUGACCAGCUAAGUCCAGCUAGACCAGCUUAAAAUGUGACCAAAACACAGCUAGACCAGCUUGCUACACCAUCAAAACCAGCUUCCUACACCAGCAAAACCAGCUAAAACCAAGCUGGGGACCAGCUAAAACCAGCUCACCAGCUUAUGCUGGUCUUAGCUGGAUUUUUCAGUAGGGUACACUGUCAAAAAUGAAUUCAUGUUCAAGCAUGACUUUGAUCUUUUUAAGUGAAUGUGUGUCUGUGCUUUUUAGGUGUCUUCUCUGCUCAGAGUGAUAUAGCUCCAAGCCACUCGAACAUGGAAGAUGAUUUCCCUAGACGUUCUCUAGUCUCACCCCAAAAUCUGUAACACCACCAUGGAUCAAUCCAACAAGCCCACAAACACCUCUUACUUCUCAAACCUCACUCUCAAGUGUCAUCUCCUCUCCAUCAGAUAGUGACAGCACUAGUUCCUCUACACAACAGGACAGUGGAUGGCACUAUAAUUUUAAAGUGCCUUGGAACAUGCUGCCAGCUGUUUUGAGGAAGAAAUUAAAAAAUCAAGAGAGACCAACAGCCAGAGAAAGGAGGGAAAUGGUACGGAUUAUUGCAGCUGAAAUCCUUGCCAUUUGCCAAAAACCAUCAAAAAAACACCUAAAUGAAGUUGCUCGGAAGAUGGUCCUUACAUAUCCAAAGUCUUUAAAAGACAUGAUUGGAGAUGAGGUUGUUGGAAGUGGGCAUGAUGCUUUAACUAAGCAAUUUCAGCACAGGGUUGAUAACUACAAGAGAAAUGAGAAGCACAACAGCACUAUAUAUGACGGCAGCCCUGUUUCAGAAAAAAGCUGCAACGUAAAGACUCUGUGAAUGUGGAAGCCCAGAUGAAAAAGAAAAAAGAGAUGCAGGAAAUGUUUAAGGUAAAUGACAUGAAUGCAAAACAAAUAGAACAGUUAAUGUCAGAUACCUUCGUAUCGCAGAGAAGUGACAUACAGUCUGGCAAGGACACACACCUUAUUAAGGAAGAAUGGCCCUUUUUAUUUUCACUUGUUGGCAUGAAGGCACAUUUCAAACUUUUAACGGGUGUCCACAUCAACGAGGCAUUUUAGGAGGCUAUGGCAGCUAAAUUUGCUAGAGUUCUAGAGUAUUUGCAGUCUCUUCCAAUUGAAAAAUCAAGCAUAGCUUCAAAACAGAGAGCAGAAAUUCAAGCUCGUGGUGGACCCUGUGGAGCAGUGAUGAUGCUGCUUCUACACUUCAAAGAAGACCAUGCAAGAAUGUUCCACAUGGUCGACAAAACCUGCAUUGCAACUGAGGUUUAGACAGAACACCUGCCACCCACACCCCGUAUUAGUGUAUGUGGAGAGAGUCCAAUGUCCGCAGCAGGUUUCAUGGUGGCAGCGGACCAGGUUGUGAUCAUGGAACACACGACAAGCUUCACAGAUGCACUGGUCUGCAUGUUUGUGGCCUUCUAUAUCUUCAACAUGUCAACAGCACUUGGGGCGACCCUUCGAGUUUCUUCAAAGGUAAAUGUAAUUUAAUUAUCUACUGAUUGGAUUUUUUUAUUCUUGAGGUAGUAUCUUGUAUUUUUUUUAUAUUAAGUUGAACUGAUUGUUGAAGGGAUAGAGCUUAAAUCUCAUUUCAGCCAAUAUACCAUAGACCAGAAGUUCUUAAAGAGAGAGAACAAGAAGAGAAUGUAGAUUUAAAAAAAUAACUUUAUUUCAAACUAAAUUAAACCAUACAAAUUAAAAAAAUAUAUAUAAAUAACAAAAACUACAGUUGUCUUUAAAGGCGGAGUCCAUGAUGUUUGAUAGCCAAUGUUGAUAUUUGAAAUCACCUAAACAAACACGCCCCUACCCCAAUAGAAUCUGGACCUUCUGUUGAUAGACCCGCCCCACACAUACGAAACCCGGCAUUUGAUUUGAUUUGAUUGGCUAUAAGUGUGUUUUGGUAGUCGGCCCGUCUCCUUUUCCAACGCGUUUUUCAAACAUCGUGGACUCCGCCUUUAACAACAGUAACUAUUUCAAGACAGUAAACCCUCCCACCCAAUCCAGACACACACACACACACACACACACAGACAUGUUUGUUUUUCUUUGUUCAGUCGAAAAUAAAUUAAAGCAACACCAAAGAGUUUUUUACCUUAAAAUAAUGUUUCCAAAAAAGUUUCAGUGGUUCAUCCACUCAAAACAAGGUGAAUGGCACUUUCACAUUCGCUUUGCAGCCCUCUAUCUUCCAAAACCGCACUAAAGAAGUUUCCAACCGUCGGGUAGUGGUCCUGUAGUUCGAGUGAAAACUACAAAAACUUGCUGUACGGCAGCUAUGCUGCAGUAUUUACGACAGUGGUAAUGAACAAUUACGCUUCUAACCUGUAGGGGGAGCAAAGAGCAAAAACUCUUUAGUGUUGCUUUAAGUUUGAGUUAAACAUUCCAUUUUUCUAAAUUUAAAGCUAUGGUUCACCCAAAAAUGAAAAUAAUUCUAUUAAUGACUCGCACUCAUGUCGUUCCAAACUCGUAAGACCUCCGUUCAUCUUUGAAACACAGUUUAAGAUGUUUUAUAUUUAGUCCGAGAGCUUGUUGACCCUUCAAUGAAAUUCUAUACACGGUAUAGACUGUCCAUGUCCAGAAAGGCAAUAAAAAUCAUCAAAGUGGUCCAAAAUACAUUUUGUUCCAAAAAAAAAAAAUUUGACUUUAUUCAGCAUUGUCUUCACUUCCGGUUCUGUUGUGAACUGUGUGCACGAGACUGCAGUGAUGCGGUUGACGUAUCACAGAAAUCAAUAUCUUUGUAGCACACAUACCCUAUCAAGGAGGUUGUCCCACCAUAUAUAGAUGAUGAAAUGAUGCUGUAUCUGUAUAACAUACAGUUUUAGUUAGACACACAAUGCACUCAACAACAUAUGUGUAUAAUUUUAAAGGAACAGUAUGUAGGAUUGUGGCCAAAACUGGUAUUGCAAUCACAAAACUUGUGGCUAAAACUGGUACUGCAAUGACACAACUGGUGGCCAAUACACAAAAUGACCACAUAAACAUCAGUUGAGGGCUGCAACUCCACUUUUUUAAUGACAAUAUCCCGGUUCAGACCACUGUUGUCAGUGAUAUAAGUAUUUGAAAUGAAAAUGAUUUCUUAAUGUCUAGUGACAUAUCAGGGCCAUUUGAUUAAUUGAUAUAAAUUUCUUACAUACUGUUCCUUUAACAUUCUGUUGUUUAUAAAGUCACAGAGAUAUUAUUUUAUACUAGAGAUGCUCCGAUCGAUCGGCCACCGGUACUCGCUAAAUUUGAAGAUCUCGUGAACCGAUCUUUCUGUUUACUUUUGUCAUCUUAGGGAUCCUGAAUGCGGCUGCAAUUAGAGACAAUUGUUUACGUAGUGCGAGCAUUUUUAUAACCUGUUGCUCAUGUGCGGUUAAAUACAUCCACACCGCAGACACGUUGCUUUAGACAAGCACGUGCAGGUUGCGGUUUCUGUUUGUGUCAUCACAACAUUUCGACUGUUUUUUCCUGUGAUAAAAGUCUUUCGGUCGAAAACCGAAAAUGCCGAAUUUUUGGUGCAUCCCUAGCGCACACACAGCAGCAUGUCAUCCGUGCACGUGAAAAGAGCGAUCUCUCUCAUGUCUUAAAGUUGCAGUAUACAAAUUCAUCUCAAUAAAAUCACUCUCUGCUCUUGACUAAGGAACUGUUAUACUUCAUACGAAUGCGUGUAUAUUUAAUUCAUACAGUAAAGACUGUGAAGUGUUUUAUUUGUAUUACUUUUAACAGACAUAAACCUUUUUAAAGAUAUAUUAAAUAUCUUUUUGCAGAAAAAUAUUUGUUGUGCUUAUUUACUUGAUUCUUUAUUAAAACAAUAAUAUACCUAAUUACUGCAAGUAAUAUAACAAAUGCAACAUCUGUGGUGUUACUUUAUCUAGAAAAAAUUUGAACAGUUACAGCCUACAGUAUGACUUUAUUUCUUUGGUUUCAAACAUUAAACCACAAAACAAUUUAAAGCAACAGACACUGACAGGGUAAGUUAACUUGCUGUGUAGCGAGGUGUAUUUACUGUCGUGUAAACAGGCAGAUCGGAUUUUCUGAGGCAAUGGGUUCUGUACGUCAUUAAAACCGCAACAAUUUAGUAGUUCUCCGCGACUGGAUGACGUCAGAUUAUUCUCAGGCGGUAGCACGUGUGGAGGCGGUAAAAAACAACAACGCAGGAAGCAUGGAGGACGAAAAUAGAGGGCAGUGGUCGACGGCUGAAGUUAUCUGCCUUAUCUCCCUGUGGGGAGAAGAGUCGGUUCAGCAGAAAACUCAAGGCUCGUACAGAAACAAAUCUGUUUUUGAUGAUCUUUUGGCUGCAAUGGCGGAGCAGGGUUUUAAACGUUCUUGGCUGCAGUGUCAGAGAAAAAUAAAGUCCCUGAAAUCGAAGUACAAGGAGGUAAAAGACCACAAUAAUAAAAGUGGCAAUGGGCGAAUAACAUUCCAGUUCUACCAGCAAAUGAACAGCAUUUUAGGGGACAAGACCAGUGCCAACCCUGCUGAAAAAACAGCAUCAAACCAGCAUGGACCAGCAUGGGAAUUAUGCUGGUCUAUGCUGGUUUAGCUGGUGGUCACCAGCAUACCAGCACUAAAACCCAACAUAUGCUGGUAUGACCACCAUGAGAUGCUGGUGCUAAUGCUGGUUUGGUGCUGGUUUAGCUGGUGCUAAUGCUGGUUUAGCUGGUGUUCACUAGCAAACCAGCACCAAAACACAACAUAUGCUGGUCUUGCUGGUAUGCUGGUUUUUUCAGCAGGGAACCCAAGAAAUGUUUUGGACAGUUCGCGCAAAGAAGGGUCUGUGGAUACGGAGGACACCGAUCUUACAGAUAAUCCUCAUGAUACAUCUCAGGAACCUCUUGAUUCUGCAGAGAUCUCAUUUGGUAACUCAAGCCCUUCAAGUGACAAUAGGCCUACCGUAGCAACCCAAGAAGCAAGUGGUGCACGUCAGCAGGAGGGUGGAACUGGUACAUCUAAAGCACGGAGAAAACGUAAAAACAAAUUGGAAUCACAAUGGAUCCUUUUGUGGUGAAGAUUGCCAAUACUCUCACCCAGACGGAUGACCCCGAUCUUCAGCUGAAACUACAGGCUGCCCAGCAAGAGCACGAGCUCCGUAUGAUGAUGAUGUUUACCCAGUUCCUUGCAAGGAGAUCUCCUGUCCCAAGGUCAUUCCCAGAUCAAGCCCAUCCUUCUUGGUUUGAACACACACGCCCACCUCCUUUCUACCCAUAUCAAUCCCAGACUCCAUCUUUACACCCCGAUCAUACCAAUGCUCAUCACUUCAACCAAGAUCAUACAUGCCCUCCUCCCAUCUACCCAGAUUAUACCCACACUGCACCUUUUUACCCAGAUCAAACACGCACAACAGUGACACCUCACCAAAGUGAAGCCACCAACAUUCAUACCUGGUAUGAUGGUUAUGCUUCUUCUGGGUCCUCUCAUCAUUCACACCCUCAGACACACAUGCCUUCCUUUCACCACAAUGCCCAACCUUCCACCUCCUACCAGGGCCACACACACUCUCAGCCUAUCAUUUCUGCUCAGGCAAGGCCAGGCAGCCCCCAACAGUCUUCAGCCAACAGCCCCACCCCGACAAUAGAUAGUGUUUAAACGUGAUAAUCUAUGAGUUUAAGGAUAACAACUGCCUGUAGUUUGUUCUGUUCAUGUGGCUUUUGAAACCUUUGAAAUAGGAAUUGGCAACACCUGCAUCCCAUUUUUGUACCUUAACAGGAGUCAGGGAAUUGAAUUUUUUUUUUUAUUGUAAUGUGGAGCCAAUGUUCAUUUGAGUAAUCUCAGGUUAACUAAAAUAAUUGUGCCUUGUUUUGAUCUCUUGUGACUUGAAUGCACUUUUCACUUUCAUCAUUUUACCUCAAUCUGAAUACCGUUAAAAUAAAUAAAUGUUCAGCAAGAAUAAAUCUGGUUUUGGUUUAUUGGAACAUGAACAUUUGGUAAUU